ACUUGGAAGUAAAACAGGUAAGAGCUCACAAGAACAGAAGAGGGAAAGGUUUUUUACAGGAGAACUUGAACCUUGUGGCACCCCUUUUUUCAGAAGAAAAGAAGAGCCCUCGAGGGUCGGUACCUUUUCCUACUCGGUCGGACCCAGGCGGCGUAUACACUCCUAGUGGAGCUUCGAGGGGAGCCAGAGGAGAGUAUGAAGCACCAAGAGUGAGUGUGUGGAGCACCGACCCUGACGCGUAUCAAACCGACGGGCGCACGCAGCAGCUAGAGGGUCCGGCAGUUGCCCAUCAUACCGGGACUAUAGUCGACGGACUCCCUCCUACGCUCGAGCAGAUUGAGCUGCCACGUCAACGUCAUCCGAUGCUAACUACGCUACUUCCACGCCUAGAGCAAGGGGAAUCGAGAACGUCUAACACCAACACCCCUAGGACCCCCACAAUAGAGGCAGGGGCUCGCGGCCCGGCCUCCGCAGCAACGACAGGGGUUCGCUCGUGCGGCGCGUAGCAGAAGUUGGAGCUAUCGGUGUUGGGGUGAAGUCGUAGCGUAACAAGGUGGACGUCCAGGGGGGAGAGGCAAAAGGAAAAAGACAGAAACAUGCUGACUUGGUUACAUGAAAUUCCAUAAAGAAUUGUCACUGUUUACCAUAUAUAACCGACGAUAACUUUACUCUAUAAUCAUUCAGACCUACGGCUUGUGUCGAAUUCCGUUUAACAAUUAAUCAAAUACACGGCAGGUGAAAAAAGUCCCGCACUCUGGCCUUAGCGUCAAACAGUAAUCACAUAAACACUAAUCGAUAUCAAAAUUAUAAAGGGUUUCUGUUUAAUUAAAAUUAUUGACUCAUCAUUUUAAUCCAUACUAACGUAAGAUGUAUACUUUAUAUUGCUACUAGACUACGAGAGUUGUAAGCCACCUUAUAUUUUAACUAUUACGUACUAAUCAACUCAAAUUAGCCAAGACCGAGAGGUACAAACUACGACACUUCGUCUUAUACACAUUUCGUGAUGGCUCAAAACGAUAGGACCGGUAAAUCAGGACGACAUGUCACCUCUAAGGUUGUCAGUAUGUCAGGUACCAACGACGAUCAAUCAUCCAAGUAUCACAUUGGGGGGAAUUUUUAAUCAAGAAAACAAAUAAUCGUUGAAGUAAGGAAAGACAUAAUAUCAAACUCGUGGAGAAAUCUAUCGCUUAAGAAACUAGAGUAAAUAAACGACAAAGAUGGUUCACAAACAGGAAUACAAACAUCAGUAAGUAACUUAUACUUCUCGUUUUUUCACUUUAGGGCUCAACCUCUCCACGUCCAGAUAGUAUUCCUACACAAGUAAAAGCCCUUACUAAUACGUCUAGUCUGUACAAUGCCUACAUGUAGAAGUUAACUAUCGUGUUAGGUGUGUCGUAUUACGUCGCCGGUGGUACGGUCUAACAAGGCCUCCGAAGGAAAAAAAUUAACGAGUUGUUACUCCAACACCCUGUAUUCCUACUUUCUCACUUCCGGAAUAGACGUUUACACCUCUCCCCACGUCCAUGUGUGGUUCUCCCUCUUAAAGCCGUCGACCUUUAGACCUGGACUUUUUCGAUGCAGUCCGAUGGAUAAGACGUGUUGAGGUUUACACGACUUUGAAGUGCCCCUAAGAAAUACCUUAUAUAUUCUUUAUGACCUCGCUUAUUGAUGGUCUCCCCUCGGUGGUCCACCCGUGUUGGGUGGACCCGCGCGGUACCGGGGGUCCGUGCGGGACCACCCAACACCGGAGGAGCCGGGUGGAGGCCACGGGUAGAAGAUCAUAUAUCCAGUAAAACUGGAUCUUUUUUAUUCUCCUCCUGAAAGCCCUGCUUCGCGGCGGCGGAGCUCCGUCCUUGUGAAAUCGGGAGGCCGCCUCGUUAAGGAGUCCCCCUUGAAGGGAGGACCUCCCCCUUUAGUAGCAGUAGUAGUAGUAGUUGUUGAGAGGGUAGAACUCCUCCCGUUAGAGGUAGUUGUAGAAGUUGUAGUGGUAGAGUAGAGUUUGGGAUCAAGUAGAGAACACAAGUUAGAACAAUGGCCUUGAUAUCUAACCACGAACACCCACUGAUCAUCACAACUAAUGUAGAACAUCAGCUAAUGACAUACCAAAUAAACCACCUUCUAAUAUACAAGUCUAGGUUGUACGAUAAAUUAUGAAUAGACUAGUACUCGUACAAAUAGUAAACACUCAUCAAUGAAAACAAGAACUCUAGUGUCCUCUUUAGUA
rnacentral:rRNA from 1 species